rnacentral:rRNA from 1 species
CCUACGGGUGGCAGCAGUGAGGAAUAUUGGUCAAUGGGCGCGAGCCUGAACCAGCCAAGUAGCGUGAAGGAUGACUGCCCUACGGUUUGUAACCUUCUUUUAUAAAGGAAUAAAGUGAGGCACGUGUGCCUUUUUGUAUGUCCUUUUUGAAUAAGGAUCGGCUAACUCCGUGCAAGCAGCCGCGGUAAUACGGAGGAUCCGAGCGUUAUCCGGAUUUAUUGGGUUUAAAGGGAGCGUAGAUGGGUUGUUAAGUCAGUUGUGAAAGUUUGCGGCUCAACCGUAAAAUUGCAAUUGAUACUGGGAGUCUUGAGUACAGUAGAGGUAGGCGGAAUUCGCGGUGUAGCGGUGAAAUGCGUAGAGAUCACGAAGAACUCCGAUGGCGAAGGCAGCUUACUAAGCUGUCACUGACACUGAGGCACGAAAGUGUGGGUAUCAAACAGGAUUAGAUACCCGUGUAGUC